CACAGCAGUCUCCUUCCUUCGGGUUAGGCAAUAAUCAUCCGGGGCACUAUCCACUCGCCGUAGCCGGAUACACAAACACACACACGGUUCCUGCGUCCCGUUGCUAACUCACAGCUAGCUUAUGCUAACGUCUGUCCUGUUGCUACUUUGGCUGUUUGGGGGCGAACAAACAAACGACCCCGCGGUCACAUUCACCGGAAUGACGCUAGGAGAAAACUACGCAUCGCUGUGAGAAGGAAUAUGGCGUUUGAUAUCGGUUUUAUUUGUGUUUCUGCAAAUAGACGGUUGCAGGUGGACUGGUGUUUACAUGGUCCGUGGGAGCUGGAAGUCCGCAGUCAGCUGUGUGGCGGCUGCAGUGCUUUGAUUAGUCUCCUAGCUGAAGAUCUGCAGCCUCAAUGGAUGUCAUCUGGGAAGAAGAGGAGGAGGAGGAGCCUUGUAGAGACCAGCUGAAGGAACAUCUUCUCUGAGCUGAAGCUCUGAGAUGAGUGCAGAGUUUCCGGACCACAACGGAGAAGUUCCUUCACUCCAUUCAUGCCGCCUUCUCUCCGUACUCACUGUAUACUCAUAGUAUUGUAUGUCAUGAAAUAAUUUAAUAAAAAAGUAAGUAAUAGUACGUAUUAUGUCAAAAAAAAGCUCAGAAAAGUCAUACAUGUCAAAAAGUGUUAUUACAAUGUUAUAACACUGUUAUAACAUGUAUUAUGACAAAAAGCUGUCACAAAGUUAAAAAAAGUGUCAAAAAGUGUUAUUACAUUGUUAUAACACUGUUAUAACAAUGUAAUAACUAUGUAAUAUGACAAAAAAAUCUGUUAAAAAGUGCUAUUACACAGCUGUACACAGUACAUGCCGUAAAAGUGGAUGUAAAUAAUUUUUUUGUCCAUAAAAAAAAAAAAUUUGGAUUUUUUUUCUUAAAUUAGAAUCUUCUCUUCCUUUCUCCUACUCACUUUCUCUGAGAUGUCCUACUCUGGUCUCUUCCUGUCUCUGAGGUGUCCUAGUGCGGUCUCACCCUUUCUCUGAGUUGUCCUACUCUGGUCUCUUCCUGUCUCUGAGGUGUCCUACACUUGUCUCUUCCUGUCCUAGGGUGGUCUUUUCCUGUCUCACUCUUUCUCUGAGGUGUCCUACUCUGGUCUCUGCCUUACUCUGAUCCCUGCCUGUCCUUGUCUUAAUACUCCUACUCUGGUCUCUGCCUGUCCUUGUCUUAAUACUCUCCUACUCUCUUCUUGCCUGCACUUCCUUUCCUAGCCUCUCUUUCCUAUCUGGGGGGCCUAUCUAAGUGCACACACGCUGAUACCGAGCUGUCUUGAACCCGCCACCGGCGCCUUUAGUGGCGAAGACAAACCAACUGCGCCACCAACGCAUGUACGCAUGUGACCGUUCUCCGGGUGUAUUUGUCUUUGUCAUUCUGGGUGUAAAGCUCAAAAUAAAUUGACUGUUCUUGCGUUGGAACCCAUAACCUUUGUGUCUCCCAACCAGCGUUCCAUCACACUGAGCUAUCAGAUCUGAUGGACAAGCUCAUGGUUAGUUGUGUAUUUGUCUUUGUCAUUCUUGGUGUAAAGCUCAAAAUAAAUUGUCCUUUCCUGUGUUGGAA